rnacentral:lncRNA from 1 species
CAAAGGCUUCAACGAGGACGUCAAAGGAAUAAGUGGGGGAGAAUGUCACGGACAAACUUCGAAACAGGAUGUUUGAUGUAAUGCUUAUGUAUGUCCGUGUCUUUUGACAUGUUCAUGCCUUGUACAGCAUGUAGAGGGGCAGCCGAAGGCUAAAUAGUCCCAUUUUAGUUGGGUUGGUGGCCUCUUUAGGCUUGUAAAUAAAGGUUGUGUCAUGUGGACACGUGCGAGAGAUUUUUGGUCUAUAAUGGACCAUUUUA